UGGGGAAUUUUGGACAAUGGGCGAAAGCCUGAUCCAGCAAUACCGCGUGUGUGAAGAAGGCCUUCGGGUUGUAAAGCACUUUUGUCCGGAAAGAAAUCCUUGGCUCUAAUACAGUCGGGGGAUGACGGUACCGGAAGAAUAAGCACCGGCUAACUACGUGCCAGCAGCCGCGGUAAUACGUAGGGUGCAAGCGUUAAUCGGAAUUACUGGGCGUAAAGCGUGCGCAGGCGGUUUGCUAAGACCGAUGUGAAAUCCCCGGGCUCAACCUGGGAACUGCAUUGGUGACUGGCAGGCUAGAGUAUGGCAGAGGGGGGUAGAAUUCCACGUGUAGCAGUGAAAUGCGUAGAGAUGUGGAGGAAUACCGAUGGCGAAGGCAGCCCCCUGGGCCAAUACUGACGCUCAUGCACGAAAGCGUGGGGAGCAAACAGGAUUAGAUACCCUGGUAGUCCACGCCCUAAACGAUGUCAACUAGUUGUUGGGGAUUCAUUUCCUUAGUAACGUAGCUAACGCGUGAAGUUGACCGCCUGGGGAGUACGGUCGCAAGAUUAAAACUCAAAUGAAUUGACGGGGUCAUAGCUGUUUCCU
rnacentral:rRNA from 1 species